UACAGAGGCCUCGAGCGUUAGGCGGAAUCACUGGGCUUAAAGCGUGUGUAGGUGGAUGCCUAAGUACCUUGUGAAAUCCCACGGCUUAACCGUGGAACUGCUGGGUAUACUGGGCGUCUUGAGCCACUCAGGGGCUACCGGAACAAGCGGUGGAGCGGCGAAAUGCGUAGAUAUCGCUUGGAACGCCAAUGGUGAAAACAGGUAGCUGGGGGUGUGCUGACACUGAGACACGAAAGCCAGGGGAGCAAACGGG
rnacentral:rRNA from 1 species